rnacentral:rRNA from 1 species
UACGUAGGGGCAAGCGUUGUCCGGAUUCAUUGGGCGUAAAGAGCGUGUAGGCGGCCAGGUAGGUCGGUUGUGAAACUGGAGGCUCAACCUUCAGAGGUCGACCGAAACCAUCUGGCUAGAGUCCGGGAGAGGAGAGUGGAAUUCCGUGGUGUAGCGGUGAAAUGCGCAGAUAUCAGGAAGAACACCCGUGGCGAAAGCGGCUCUCUGGAACGGUACUGACGCUGAGACGCGAAAGCGUGGGGAGCGAACAGG